GGAGUACGGCCGCAAGGCUAAAACUCAAAGGAAUUGACGGGGACCCGCACAAGCAGCGGAGCAUGUGGUUUAAUUCGACGCAACGCGAAGAACCUUACCUGGGCUUGACAUGUUCCUGACCGCCCUGGAAACAGGGUUUCCCUUCGGGGCAGGAUCACAGGUGGUGCAUGGCUGUCGUCAGCUCGUGUCGUGAGAUGUUGGGUUAAGUCCCGCAACGAGCGCAACCCCCGUCGCAUGUUGCCAGCAUUUAGUUGGGGACUCAUGCGAGACUGCCGGUGACAAACCGGGGGAAGGUGGGGAUGACGUCAAGUCAUCAUGCCCCUUAUGUCCAGGGCUACACACGUGCUACAUUGGCCGGUACAGAGGGCUGCGAUACCGCGAGGUGGAGCGAAUCCCUCAAAGCCGGUCUCGGUUCGGAUUGCAGGCUGAAACUCGCCUGCAUGAAGGCGGAGUUGCUAGUAAUCGCGGAUCAGCAAUGCCGCGGUGAAUACGUUCCCGGGUCUUGUACACACCGCCCGUCACACCACGGAAGUGGGCAACACCCGAAGCCGGUGGCCUAACCCUUUUGGGAGGGAGCCGUCGAAGGUGGGGCCCGUGACUGGGGUGAAGUCGUAACAAGGUAGCCGUACCGGAAGGUGCGGCUGGAUCAC
rnacentral:rRNA from 1 species